rnacentral:rRNA from 1 species
ACAGCAGUAGCCGCGGGAAUACAGAGGGUGCGAGCGUUAAUCGGAUUUACUGGGCGUAAAGCGUGCGUAGGCGGCUUCUUAAGUCGGAUGUGAAAUCCCUGAGCUUAACUUAGGAAUUGCAUUCGAUACUGGGAAGCUAGAGUAUGGGAGAGGAUGGUAGAAUUCCAGGUGUAGCGGUGAAAUGCGUAGAGAUCUGGAGGAAUACCGAUGGCGAAGGCAGCCAUCUGGCCUAAUACUGACGCUGAGGUACGAAAGCAUGGGGAGCAAACAGGAUUAGAGACCCCAGUAGUCCCUGUCUCUUAUAA